UAAACGACUCUCGGCAACGGAUAUCUCGCGUCUCGCAUCGAUGAAGAACGUAGCGAAAUGCGAUACUUGGUGUGAAUUGCAGAAUCCCGUGAACCAUCGAGUCUUGAACGCAAGUUGCGCCCAAAGCCAUUAGGCCGAGGGCACGUCUGCCUGGGCGUCA
rnacentral:rRNA from 1 species